GCCAGUCCCGAUUUUCUCUCCAUACCGAUCGAGCACGAAGCUGCGCUCGUCUCACUGCUGCGCUAUACGUCUGCAUCAGAACAUUUUUUUAAGAAGUAUACCUGUUUUUCACAACACUUGAUUUGCUUCAAGAACUCUUCUUGCUUCUCCUGCCCGGGCUGAUUCAGAAGGGCUCCGAGUGCCGGAGUCCGAGUGCAGUGACUGCGGUCCGGCGCCGUGGAGAGAGACUCAGCCUGCUGACCGCCAGUCAGCACCACGCAGGGACACAUUAGCAUCUCUGGGGCCCCUAAGGGGCCCUUUUAGGACCACAUGCAGCUGCCUAUACGUCUUGCGGUAUGUUCAGCCCUGGCAGAACGAGCGAAAAUGAUUGGGGAAAUAAAGGAAAGGCUAUAAAACUUGACUAUUCCAUAAUGUGCAAGUGAGAAGUGGAAGCAGAUUUUGUGUACGGUGAGAGCAAACUGGCUGCGAAGGGCAGCCACCUGUUGUGGCACCCAGGGAGCUGGGGGGUUAAGGGCCUUUGCUUGAAGGUCGGGCUCAAACCAGUGACCUGAUCACAGGCACAGAGGCUCGGCCUACUGAGUCACACACCGCCCCCCAGCUAAUAAAGUAAAUAAAAAUAACAGCUGAUCCUCAAUUUUAAAGAAGUUCUAGCUAACUGCAGACAGAGAGCCCCCAGUGCUCACGGGAAGUCUGGGGACGUUUGCUUAAUUCUGUCAAAAUGUUGGACAUUUAUUGGUUUCAUAACAGAAGUCCAUUGCCGAUCAAUAUUUAACGUAUCUGCACAUAUGUUCCGCACAGGCAUUUUCUUUCUAUUAAGUGUCAUAAGUUUUUUGACUCAUUCAGUUCUGGUUUGCCAUUUUGCUAUUAAUUACAAUUGUAGACACUGGCUCCCAAAGAGAUACUAAAUACGUUGGUGUGUUUAUGUUAUUGUAAAGGUGUCACUAAUUAAAAAAGCACCUGUUUAUCAAUGAACUUUUUAACUCAGAACAGCUCUAUGGGAGCUGCUUAUUGUAGCAGCAUCUCUUUGGCUCGUCUUUGACCUUUGAUGAGUCUACAUUCAUCAAUGAGAGAAAAUGACUUGCUUUUUCCCAUCAUGUUUUCUGUGCAUGCAACAUUAGCCUUAGGUAGCUAGCCAGAAGCAGACGGGGUUACCACAAGGCAAAGUAGGCAAGUAAAAGAAAAGGAAGAAUUACCGUAAUUUAUUUUCUUCCAUAUGUUGUUAUGCAUAAAAAGACCCAUGAACACUGUAAACAGACUGCUUGAUUACUAUAUGCAAAUAAUUUUAACAGUAUUUGUCCCAGAAUGAUUCUGCCCCAGGUUUUUUGAUCCAUGUAAGCGGUUGAUCAGCUCUGUGUUUAAACUCUCCUCAGUGGUGCUUUUUAAGGGAACAGUACAUGAACACCCACUGGGGAAAGUAUUAACAGAACUGAAAAAAUUACAGGUUCUGAAUGUCGGUUUUGAUUAAUUUUUGAUGAAUUGCACCAGCCUUACCCUUUAAAUAUAAAGCAUAAUUAUAGUCAUCUGUCAUUUAAGCAAGAAAAGUCUUAUUUGGCUCUAUAUGCAUUAACAAAUAUUAAAUAGCUGUAACAGCAAUGCGUUUAAAUUGGUUACUUCACACAGUCCAAAUACAUUCAAUCAAUUUGUGACUAAAUUUCUCACAGUAUGUGAACAUCUGAGUGAAUUUAUGUAUAUGUGAUGGGGCAUGAAAAUGAAGAAGUGUCAAUAAAACCAGUGUCAUGAAACAAAUUGUUUUACGAUAUUAAUUUGUCACAUUCGUGCUGCUUAAUGUCACUGUGGACGCGAACGUAGCUAAUUAAGUUUCCACUCAUGCCUUCAGUAUCCCUGUCAUUUCCGGGCUUGUAAAAUGUCGUAGGUUCAGGGAUCUUCCUGUUUAACACAUUGGAAAUAUAUAGAAAACAAACGACCGAGUGAAGUUAAACUUACAGUUAAGCUUCGACUGUUUCGUGUCCUUUUCAUGUAACCCGUCAUAUUCGCUGUAAGACUCGCCCUGUCAGGUGCUGUGUCCAGGUGAUUUGUUGUCUUAUUCGGCACAUUUGAGUGCAGAUCACCACCAAACAUCUAACAGGGAUGUUACCACAGGAAACAAAGGACUAAAAAUGAGGGCUGUAUUAGCAUUGGCCUCUGGGCUUUUUGAAGAAGUGUGUGUGUGUGUGUUGGGGGGGAUUUAAAUGCAAAUUCAGUGAAAACAAUCUGUGUGAACCAUUGUUUUAAUCUUGGUUAAAUAAAAUGGGGAA